rnacentral:lncRNA from 1 species
GAGACCCGGGGGGGAUGGGCCCCAGGAGUCCACACCUUCAACCUCUUCCCUGGGGGAUCCUUUCCUUUCUCUUAUUUUCUUCUUAUUACUUUUGCACAGUCAGGCUUAGGAGUGUCUGCUCCUCGGAGGAAAGCAGGGAAGAGGAAGCCGGCUCAGUACCUGCCGUCUGGCCGCCCGAGGCGGGGGAGGUGGCGCAGGCUGGGGCAGCCCGGCCGAGCGAAGGCUCCUUCCGGGGCCGGGCCGGGAAGGGGGGCUGGGAGGUUUCUUGGAGGAGGUAGAGCUGCAUUCCUCUCAUGCCUUAAGCAUGAAUUUCUAAGGGUAGAAUUUCAAGGGUGGUAAAUGGAGAGGGCUGGAGGAGCUUUAUUUGUCUAUUUAUUUAUUUCCCCUAAUCCGCUUGCAGGGCUAAUCAGCUCCCCCCCGGGGCAGCCUCCGACGGGCUUCUCUCACUGCUCAGCCUGGGCUGGAGGGACCCGUGAGGGACGCACACCGUCUCGCAGGGAAGCUGAGCAGAGGAGAGGGAAGCUGUGGGGGUGGCUUUCAGUCCCGGGAGGGCUCCUGGAGUUCCUGCUCCAAGUCCGGGGAUCUGACCUGGCUGUCCCUAGGCCUGUGGAGACCCCAGGAAUGGGAAUGAAAGAGACUGGGGUCCAAAUGGCCCCCAGGCCUGACCAAUGCAUCCCUGGGGGCCAGAUACAAGGGGAGCUGCCACAGCUCAGGAGAGCGCAGGACCAUCCCUGGAACAGGCUCCAGCUUCUCCAUAGCAGCUCUGAGAGGAAUAUGUGGCCUCUUAGGCCGAUCAGCCUGAGCCAAGGCACCUUCCUUAGGUGUGGAGUGUCCUAGUCAACACAUGCUCGUGCAUUCAUUCAUUCAUUCAUUCAUUGAACACCUGCUAUGUGCCAGGCACUGGGCUGGGCUCUGCAGGUUAGCUGUGAACAAAGCAGCUGAGGCCCUGCUGUCGUGGAGUUUACAUACAGGAGGGGGAUGGACAACAAAACAUAACAAAUUAAUGUGUAACCUGGUUAUCAUCCUAUAACCCUGUUAGACGUCACAUGUAAUGGUGUCAGGCGAGAAUAUGAAGCGAGGUAAGGGGAGAGAGUGCUUGGGAUGGAAAGAGGUGAGCUAUUUCUGCUCGGAGGUCGGGGAAGCCCUCUGAAGAGAAGACAUUGAACAGAGGCCUAAAGGAAGGAAGGAACUGGAACAGGCAGAUUUGGGGGGAGGAACAGCAGGAGGCCACGGAGGUUUGGGGCCAAGGAGUGACAAGACCUGGCUUCGGUUUACAAAGAUCAUUCUGGCUGCUGCCUAGAGAAUGGAAGGCUGGCAGGGAGAGCCUACCGGGAGGCCACUGCAGCAGGCCAGGGAGAGAGAGAAGCCAAGAAUGAAAAGGGUUUAGAGGGAGGGCAGACUGCCAGCCACGCAGUAUCUACAUCUGAAAGGCAGCCAUUCUGCUGGAAGAAAUGACAGUCAGGUGGCCCCCGGCUGGCCUGACUUCCCACACAGCCUGUUCCUUAGAGUCUUGAAAGCCAGCAAAACUCUUUCUUUGCAGAAAUACUGCCUGGGUUGUAAGGAGCUGUGGCCAGACCAGUCACGAGCGAUUCCAGACAGUUUGGGAACAUGGAUUCCACGCCCAGCACUCCAUCUUAUGAGAAACAGAUGACUCCUUUUUCUGAAAUGGCGAGCGCCUCCAGAGACCCAUCCCAGCCCUUCUUUGUUCCAAAG